rnacentral:snoRNA from 1 species
UGGGGAUGAUGAGCAAACAGAUAGGGACAACCGACCGCGCCUUUGGUGUGGAAUGGCGAGGAAAGUCUUUUACAGUCCAGUUUUUAGUAGAGCUUUGGACACCAUCUCUGACC